rnacentral:rRNA from 1 species
GAUGAACGCUGGCGGCGUGCCUAAUACAUGCAAGUCGAGCGAACAGACGAGGAGCUUGCUCCUUUGACGUUAGCGGCGGACGGGUGAGUAACACGUGGAUAACCUACCUAUAAGACUGGGAUAACUUCGGGAAACCGGAGCUAAUACCGGAUAAUAUUUCGAACCGCAUGGUUCGAUAGUGAAAGAUGGCUUUGCUAUCACUUAUAGAUGGACCUGCGCCGCAUUAGCUAGUUGGUAAGGUAACGGCUUACCAAGGCAACGAUGCGUAGCCGACCUGAGAGGGUGAUCGGCCACACUGGAACUGAGACACGGUCCAGACUCCUACGGGAGGCAGCAGUAGGGAAUCUUCCGCAAUGGGCGAAAGCCUGACGGAGCAACGCCGCGUGAGUGAUGAAGGUCUUCGGAUCGUAAAACUCUGUUAUUAGGGAAGAACAAAUGUGUAAGUAACUGUGCACGUCUUGACGGUACCUAAUCAGAAAGCCACGGCUAACUACGUG